UACGUAGGGUGCAAGCGUUAAUCGGAAUUACUGGGCGUAAAGCGUGCGCAGGCGGUGAUGUAAGACAGUUGUGAAAUCCCCGGGCUCAACCUGGGAACUGCAUCUGUGACUGCAUCGCUGGAGUGCGGCAGAGGGGGAUGGAAUUCCGGCGUGUAGCAGUGAAAUGCGUAGAUAUGCGGAGGAACACCGAUGGCGAAGGCAAUCCCCUGGGCCUGCACUGACGCUCAU
rnacentral:rRNA from 1 species